UACGUAGGGUCCGAGCGUUGUCCGGAAUCAUUGGGCGUAAAGAGCGCGUAGGCGGUCCGGUAAGUCCGCUGUGAAAGUCAAGGGCUCAACCCUUGAAUGCCGGUGGAUACUGUCGGGCUAGAGUCCGGAAGAGGCGAGUGGAAUUCCUGGUGUAGCGGUGAAAUGCGCAGAUAUCAGGAGGAACACCGAUUGCGAAGGCAGCUCGCUGGGACGUAACUGACGCUGAGACGCGAAAAGCGUGGGGAGCAAACAGGAUUAGAACUAC
rnacentral:rRNA from 1 species